CGCGCGCGUGCGCCGAAUCCCGCGAGGGAACCGGGGAACCACUCUUCCGGGGUGAAUCGGGUGCCCGUACGGGUGCCCGUAGGAGACCUUCCUGCUCCGAACCCGUCAGCUAACCCGGUAGGCGAGAAGGAAGGAAAGG
rfam:Streptomyces sp. Tu6071 chromosome, whole genome shotgun sequence.